UACGUAGGGGGCUAGCGUUGUCCGGAAUCAUUGGGCGUAAAGAGCGCGUAGGCGGUCCGGUAAGUCGGUUGUGAAAACUGGGGGCUCAACCCUCAGAGGCCGACCGAUACUGCCGGGCUAGAGUCCGGAAGAGGCGAGUGGAAUUCCUGGUGUAGCGGUGAAAUGCGCAGAUAUCAGGAGGAACACCAAUGGCGAAGGCAGCUCGCUGGGACGGUACUGACGCUGAGGCGCGAAAGCGUGGGGAGCAAACAGG
rnacentral:rRNA from 1 species